rnacentral:piRNA from 1 species
UUCGAGGUGAUCAGAAAGCCACGUUGCUGU